ACUUGUACCGACUGGAUGAGCAGCGAACGGGUGAGUAACGCGUGGGGAAUCUGCCUUUGAGCGGGGGACAACAUUUGGAAACGAAUGCUAAUACCGCAUAAAAACUUUAAACACAAGUUUUAAGUUUGAAAGAUGCAAUUGCAUCACUCAAAGAUGAUCCCGCGUUGUAUUAGCUAGUUGGUGAGGUAAAGGCUCACCAAGGCGAUGAUACAUAGCCGACCUGAGAGGGUGAUCGGCCACAUUGGGACUGAGACACGGCCCAAACUCCUACGGGAGGCAGCAGUAGGGAAUCUUCGGCAAUGGACGAAAGUCUGACCGAGCAACGCCGCGUGAGUGAAGAAGGUUUUCGGAUCGUAAAACUCUGUUGGUAGAGAAGAACGUUGGUGAGAGUGGAAAGCUCAUCAAGUGACGGUAACUACCCAGAAAGGGACGGCUAACUACGUGCCAGCAGCCGCGGUAAUACGUAGGUCCCGAGCGUUGUCCGGAUUUAUUGGGCGUAAAGCGAGCGCAGGUGGUUUAUUAAGUCUGGUGUAAAAGGCAGUGGCUCAACCAUUGUAUGCAUUGGAAACUGGUAGACUUGAGUGCAGGAGAGGAGAGUGGAAUUCCAUGGGUUAACCGGUUG
rnacentral:rRNA from 1 species